AAACUAGGAUUAGAUACCCUAUUAGAAUUAACUAAAAUUUAGUAGUAAGUGUAAAUCAUGAAACUAAAAUUAAUUGGCGGCUAUUUAAAUUUUUUAGAGGAAUUUAUUCUAUAAAGGAUUAGACACCAAAAUCUUACUUUUACUUGCUUUCAGUUUGUAUAUCUCUAUAUAAAAAUAUAAUAAUAUAUCUUAUUUCUUAUUGUUAACUAAAUUUUAGGUAAAGGUGCAGCUUAUGUAAAAGAUUGAAAUAAAUUAUAUUAAUUAAUAUUUAACAAGGUAUUUAUGGUAAAUAGGUAUUAAGUAAAAUUUAAAAGUAAAAUUAAUAGAUUAGGUUAAUUUGAAUAAUAGUUUAAUUGUGUACAUAUUGCCCGUCACUCUCUUAUUAGAGAUAAGUCGUAACAUAGUA
rnacentral:rRNA from 1 species